CCUACGGGAGGCAGCAGUGAGGAAUAUUGGUCAAUGGGCGGAAGCCUGAACCAGCCAAGUAGCGUGCAGGAUGACGGCCCUACGGGUUGUAAACUGCUUUUAUACGGGAAUAACGCGCCUUACGUGUAGGGCUUUGCAUGUACCGUAUGAAUAAGGACCGGCUAAUUCCGUGCAAGCAGCCGCGGUAAAACGGGAGGUCCGGGCUUUAUCCGGAUUUAUUGGGUUUAAAGGGAACGUAGGUCGCAGGGCCAGCGUGCUGUGAAAUGUCCGGGCUCAACCCGGGUCUUGCAGCGCGAACUGGCGUGCUUGAGUGCGCGGAAAGCAGGCGGAAUUCGUCGUGUAGCGGUGAAAUGCUUAGAUAUGACGAAGAACCCCGAUUGCGAAGGCAGCUUGCUGCAGCGGAACUGACGCUGAUGCUCGAAAGCGCGGGUAUCGAACAGGAUUAGAUACCCGAGUAGUC
rnacentral:rRNA from 1 species